rnacentral:rRNA from 1 species
AGCCUUCAGCCAACCAAGUAUUGAAGGUGAUGCCUGCCCAGUGACAUCAUGUUUAACGGCCGCGGUAUCCUAACCGUGCGAAGGUAGCGCAAUCAAUUGUCCCAUAAAUCGAGACUUGUAUGAAUGGCUAAACGAGGUCUUAGCUGUCUCUUGCAGAUAAUCGGUGAAAUUGAUCUCCCUGUGCAAAAGCAGGAAUAAACCCAUAAGACGAGAAGACCCUGUGGAACUUAAAAAUCAGCGGCCACCCCACCUAGAACCUAAGCCUACUAGGUAUACUAUUACUCCAAAAACAUUGGCCCGCAUUUUUCGGUUGGGGCGACCUUGGAGAAAAACGAACCCUCCAAAAAUAAGACCACACCUCUUGACCAAGAGCAACCCCUCAACGUACUAACAGUAACCCGACCCAAUAUAAUUGACCAAUGGACCAAGCUACCCCAGGGGUAACAGCGCAAUCUCCUUCAAGAGCCCAUAUCGACAAGGAGGUUUACGACCUCGAUGUUGGAUCAGGACAUCCUAAUGGUGCAGCCGCUAUUAAGGGUUCGUUUGUUCAACGAUUAACAGUCCUACG